AAGAAAAAGGAUAAAUUACACUCGUAUAAGAACAGAAAGAGUGGUAUCGAUUAUAAGAAACUGUACCUUGACCAAAAAAUGAAAAUGGAAUUAUAUAAAAAAAAUCAGUGACCAAGAAGAGGAACUAAAAAUAUUAAGAAAGCAACAUGUUAAAUUGGUGGACAAAAUCUUAAGUAAAAUUGAUAAAUGCGCAUCGAGAGAAGUUAAUGUAUUUUCUACCAAAAACUUGAGUGACUUGCCGACAGGAUAUAUAAACAAGGAGACUAAAAAGAUCCACUGCGGGAAUAAUUUGUACAUGUGUCUGGAUCGUUAUCAUGAGGCAGUAAAUAAAGCUUGUAGUGCUAAGCCACCUAAUCAAAGUUCCCAAUUUGUGAAAAAUAUUGCCUGUGCAAUAAUUGGCACAGAAAACCUAAAAUUAUCAAGCGUUAGAGGCAGAAAAUGCAAUCGGUUCAAGGGUGCGGUGGCAAAACCAAAGAUUGAUCCAACGCAGCUGUCAUCAGUGCAUGAAAUAUUCAAAUUCUUUUUGAAAGACGUGAAGAAGAUGGAUAGCGUAGAAAUAGAAUUAGAAGAUUCUCAAACUGAUUCAUACAUAGCG